CCUACGGGGUGCAGCAGUGGGGAAUAUUGCACAAUGGGGGAAACCCUGAUGCAGCGACGCCGCGUGAGUGAAGAAGUAAUUCGUUAUGUAAAGCUCUAUCAGCAGGGAAGAAAAUGACGGUACCUGAGUAAGAAGCCCCGGCUAACUACGUGCCAGCAGCCGCGGUAAUACGUAGGGGGCAAGCGUUAUACGGAUUUACUGGGUGUAAAGGGAGCGUAGACGGCAGUGCAAGUCUGGAGUGAAAGGGGGGGGCUCAACCCCCGGACUGCUCUGGAAACUGUACGGCUGGAGUGCAGGAGAGGUAAGUGGAAUUCCUAGUGGAGCGGUGAAAUGCGUAGAUAUUAGGAGGAACACCAGUGGCGAAGGCGGCUUACUGGACUGUAACUGACGUUGAGGCUCGAAAGCGUGGGGAGCAAACAGGAUUAGAUACCCUUGUAGUC
rnacentral:rRNA from 1 species